UGAAGGAAGCGUCCGAUGCGGAUGCGGCGACGACGGCGACCUCUCCAGCUCGGUGCUCCUCAAUUUUUCGCCGCUGGAUCGGUGUUUCCAUCGUGGUUAGGAGAGAGAGACAGAAAUGUGUGGCCUGGAGAGAGAUGCGGAGAGGAUAAGGCGCAGCGGUUAAAAAGGGGACGUGCGAUUUUUUUAUCGGGGUGACACACUUUUCCUAAUAAACAGCUAGCUGUUUUGCAAUUAGCAAACAGCUACUUUUUCUGCCAUACGAUUGACUCACGAAUCUUAGCGCAACUCUGAUUUCGCUUCCCUCAUGUUUUCCCAUAGUGCCCUGGUGUCCUUUUUUUUUAAUUCUUUAUUCCUUUUCUGUCUGAUUCCCGUGAGGGCCUGACCGUUCUGUAUCAUUUCUCUCUUUCUUUUUUCUCUUCGGUCCUCCUGAGAGCAAGCGGAACCAUGGCGGAGAAAUUCGCACGUCCUGCUCGGGCGUCGGCGGGUGUGGGGCCGCCGCGUCUUGCUCGGCCGACGGCAGAGGAAGCAAUUGGUGUUGGGACACCUCGUCUCCCUAGGCUGUGGAUUGGACGGUGACUCCAAAUCUGCUGCUAGCGUCGAUGGGGAAAUUUCCAGCUCAUGUUCAUCUCCGUCCAUCGGGGAAGAGGUUUUCGUUUCGCGAGCGCAGAAGGCAUGUGCACCGGCGCAGAUAUGGGCUAGUGUUUUGUGUGCUCACUAGUAUAUCUGCAUCUCCGCGGUGGCAAUGCCGCGUGGGGCGCCGGCGUCGAUGGAGCCUUCUGAUAUGAAAGGCGGUGGAGGAGCUGCUCAACACAUACUUGGCGGUUUGGGCUAUGGUAACACCAUGAACUGAGCUAGUACUACAAGAGGAAGUUGAGCUUAACCAAGAGUGCAUCAAAGUUAGGUUCUAAUACAGGUGUGCUGCCCUAGAACGAAAAAAUCUUAGGAUCCUAAAGGUAGCUAUGAGAAUUCACAAUGAAUAGUGGAGCUACAAGAUGCACGUGCUGGGCUUUUGCGGAUCUGAGUCUUUUACUGUUUAUGGGCUUUCUUCUGUAAUGGACUUUUUUAAACUCAACAUGUUCUAAAAGCAGAAAUCCAUGAAACGCAAACACUAUAUAAUGGGCUUUUUUAAACUCAACAUGUUCUGAAAGCAGAAAUCCAUGAAACGCAAACACAUGCCCCGUACCUAAUGUGUCUGUUUUGCCAAACUAAAACAGAUAGUUUUUUUAUUAACUGAGCUCUACAGAUGUCAUCAUUUGAUUGGUCCUAAAAAAGUGUCUGUUUACGAAUUGGAAAACAGCUAGCUGUUGUUUAGACACCGUUAGACACGUGUCAGUCUCUGGCCGCGUGCUCACGUACCCAUGUGAUCAUCGGGCUUCAUCUGAUUUGUCAAUUGCCCAACUGUAAUUUGUUCACCCAACAUGCUAUUUAUCUUAUGGGAGAGACACCGCUAGUGAACUGUGGACCCCGGUCCAUUCUUUACAUCUGAAAUACAAUCUACUGCAAUUGUUCUUUACUGUUCUUCGCAAACAAACAUCAUCUUCCACACUAUACAUCUAAUCCUUUGUUACAGCAAGCCGGUGAGAUUGACAACCUCAUUGUCACGUUGGGGCAAAGUACUUUGAUUGUGUUGUGCAGGUUCCACGUUGGCGGCGGAAUCUCUGGUGUUGCGUCGCACUACACUUCGCCGCCAUCAACCUUCAACGUGCUUCUUGGCUCCUACUGGUUCGAUAAACCUUGGUUUCUUACUGAGGGAAAACUUGCUACUGUACGCAUCACACCUCCUCUUGGGGUUCCCAACGGACGUGUGUUAACUGCACGCAUCAGCCACCUAAACUAAGUUAACCCAUGUCGAGAGUCCGACCGAAUAUCUGAAAUGGACCCAGUUGUUUCCGACUCUGUGCUAGGUGGCAUCAGAGAUCACACAUGGGAGAUGACCCACUUUGCAGUGCACCAAAGACCUAUGUGUGCGUGCAAGAUAAAACAGACGAGGGUUACAAGGCACACAAGAACCAAAGGGAAACACCCCAAAUCUAGUUGCUGCUCUGGACGAGGUUGUAGAUUUCGACAGUGAUCGAGAGGGGGCAUUAUACCCCACAUAUGGUUAGAGGGCUCAGUUUCAGAACUGAUAGCAAGAACUUAGGCUUUAAAGGACACAAGUGAGCCAUCACAAUACAAGCAGCUGACCCACCAAUGCCUCUGCUGAGAGAGAGUAAAAGGUUGUUGACAUUUAAAGUAAACCAUGAUUCUCUCAAACAAAUUAUAUCCAUAAUUGGAGCAUAGACAACUUCCCAACAUUAUUUGAUGAAGAUAAUACAAGUCGAACAGACUAAGCAUGCACUAUGACUCUCAAAGCCAACACGAAACCCACACAACAUGUAAAUAGUUACGAGGUGAAUGCCAUUUGGGUUGUUAGGGUAAACAUGUGGAUAUGACACGUGACUCGAACAAAGCAUCAUGAGGCAAAACUGCAAAAACAAUAAGAAGCAGGGAAAGGUGCUCGCAUGUCAAAUCAGAAGUAGUAGCAAAGGCACAAUCCUCCAGAGUGGUGUAGUCAUACUCCUGCUCGUACUCCUCAGAGCAUGUGUGUACUCGAGAAGAAACAAACACAGCCAAGAAAGUAGACAAACAUAAACAUGAGAUAUGCGCAAUCAAGUAUGAUGCAUGGCAGAGGGUCCGUAGGAGCGUCGACGACAACCUACGACCUUCCCGUGCUCUGAAUCCUCGGCCGAGUGCUCCGCCCGCUGGUCUGCUUCUCGUUCUCUGCCUGCUGGACGACCAGAUACAAGCUGCAACGAGGCUGCGAAGCUCCCGGAUCUGUUGUCUAGGAUGUAUGUUGAGAAAAUGUUCAAGGAAAUGAUUAUUAGGCAUCAAAUUUAAGGGCAAUCCUGCGUGGCUGAUACACACAGUCGGAAACAUUCAGAUACUGCAAGGAAGCUUUGACUAAGAAGAGAGACGAGCCUAUGCAUCACAUAACAUCUUUUUUUAAACAAAGUACAAGAUAUUGACCCAUAGCUUUUCUCUGAUGUUUGUUGAACGUAAAAAGUUUGGCAUCUGAGAAAGUAAGCUCUCUAAUUUUAGGAACCAAAUAACUUCUUAUCUCUACCAUGGCACCAUGACGUUGUCUUUUCUUGCGGGGAACAAUUGUAGUUAUUUUUGUAAGGCGUGGUGAAUAAAUGAGGAAAAUACAACAAUGUGUGAUUUAAUGGUAUGCCAAUAAAAAUAAAUAUACAUGGGACUUACUUGCUA